rfam:Aspergillus ruber CBS 135680 unplaced genomic scaffold scaffold00023, whole genome shotgun sequence.
GACACUUUGGCCGAGUGGUUAAGGCGCAGGUCUGCUAUUUGGCUAGCUUCCUAGCUAUAGCUAAUCUGUCUCUUUGGAGGCGUGAGUUCGAAUCUCACAGGUGUCG